rnacentral:rRNA from 1 species
GACGAACCGUGCGAACGUUGUUCGGAAUCACUGGGCUUAAAGGGCGCGUAGGCGGGCUGCCAAGUCCGGGGUGAAAUCCUGCGGCUUAACCGCGGAACUGCCCCGGAUACUGGCGGCCUCGAGUGGGGUAGGGGCGUGCGGAACUCUGGGUGGAGCGGUGAAAUGCGUUGAUAUCCAGAGGAACUCCGGUGGCGAAAGCGACUUCCUGGACCAAUACUGACGCUCAUGUGCGAAAGCGUGGGGAGCAAACAGG